CGGGUUUGACAUACAAGUAGUAGUGAAGCGAAAGCGGAACGACCUUCGGAGCUUGAACAGGUGCUGCAUGGCUGUCGUCAGCUCGUGCCGUGAGGUGUUCGGUUAAGUCCGCAAACGAGCGCAACCCUCGGCGUUAGUUACAAGUGUCUAACGCAACUGCCCGUGAGAAACGGGAGGAAGGUGGGGAUGACGUCAAGUCAGCAUGGCCUUUAUAUCCGGGGCUACACACACGCUACAAUGGGCGGUAA
rnacentral:rRNA from 1 species